rnacentral:rRNA from 1 species
UUAAACGUCCACCACGUUGAAUACACCGGUUCUCGUCCGAUCACCGAAGUUAGGCAACGUCGGGCGCGGUCAGUACUUAGAUCGGUGACCGCUUGGGAACACCGCGUGACGUUGGCU